rnacentral:rRNA from 1 species
UACAGAGGUCCCAAGCGUUGUUCGGAUUCACUGGGCGUAAAGGGUGCGUAGGUGGCCAGGUAAGUUCGGUGUGAAAGCUCGGAGCUUAACUCCGAAAUGGCAUUGAAUACUAUCUGGCUAGAGGGUCGGAGGGGAGACUGGAAUUCUCGGUGUAGCAGUGAAAUGCGUAGAUAUCGAGAGGAACACCAGUGGCGAAGGCGAGUCUCUGGACGACACCUGACACUGAGGUGCGAAAGCGUAGGGAGCAAACAGG